GAUGAACGCUGGCGGCGUGCCUAAUACAUGCAAGUCGAGCGAACAGACGAGGAGCUUGCUCCUCUGACGUUAGCGGCGGACGGGUGAGUAACACGUGGAUAACCUACCUAUAAGACUGGGAUAACUUCGGGAAACCGGAGCUAAUACCGGAUAAUAUAUUGAACCGCAUGGUUCAAUAGUGAAAGACGGUUUUGCUGUCACUUAUAGAUGGAUCCGCGCCGCAUUAGCUAGUUGGUAAGGUAACGGCUUACCAAGGCAACGAUGCGUAGCCGACCUGAGAGGGGAAUGGCCCCAACUGGAACUGAGCCCGGGCCCAGACUCUUACGGGAGGCAGCAGUAGGGAACUUUCGGCAAUGGCCGAAAGCUUGCGGGAGAAACGCGGGUUGGGUAAUGAGGGUCUUCGGUUCGUAAACCUCUUUUAUAGGGGAAGACCAAAUUGGAAGGUAAUUAUGCAGGCUUGGACGGUACUUAACCAGAAAGCCCCGCCUACUACGUG
rnacentral:rRNA from 1 species